UACGUAGGUGACAAGCGUUGUCCGGAUUUACUGGGCGUAAAGAGCGCGCAGGCGGUCGAUCAAGUCGAGUGUGAAAGCCCCCGGCUCAACUGGGGAGGGUCAUUCGAUACUGAUCGACUCGAAGGCAGGAGAGGGUAGUGGAAUUCCCGGUGUAGUGGUGGAAUGCGUAGAUAUCGGGAGGAACACCAGUGGCGAAGGCGGUUACCUGGAGCUUUGCUGACGCUGAUGCGCGAAAGCGUGGGGAGCGAGUCCGG
rnacentral:rRNA from 1 species